UAUAUUCAUUCGGUGAACUUGAACCUCUCGAUCAUAUAGACACCUGCACCGUCUAGUGCAAUUUCUAGUGUUAGUCUUUUGAACUCCACUUUCAUGGCCCGGCUACACAUCCCAUCUUUAAAGCCCAAUUAAAACAUUCAUUUCACAUACACAACCAUUAAUUCAAUUACUUACCAAAGGCAUCCUAUUGAUAUUGUCAC
rnacentral:lncRNA from 1 species